rnacentral:rRNA from 1 species
GACGAACGCUGGCGGCGUGCCUAAUACAUGCAAGUAGAACGCUGAAGGAGGAGCUUGCUUCUCUGGAUGAGUUGCGAACGGGUGAGUAACGCGUAGGUAACCUGCCUGGUAGCGGGGGAUAACUAUUGGAAACGAUAGUUAAUACCGCAUAAUAGUAGAUGUUGCAUGACAUUUGCUUAAAAGGUGCAAUUGCAUCACUACCAGAUGGACCUGCGUUGUAUUAGCUAGUUGGUGGGGUAACGGCUCACCAAGGCGACGAUACAUAGCCGACCUGAGAGGGUGAUCGGCCACACUGGGACUGAGACACGGCCCAGACUCCUACGGGAGGCAGCAGGAGGGAAUCUUCGGCAAUGGACGGAAGUCUGACCGAGCAACGCCGCGUGAGUGAAGAAGGUUGUCGGAUCGUAAAGCUCUGUUGUAAGAGAAGAACGAGUGUGAGAGUGGAAAGUUCACACUGUGACGGUAUCUUACCAGAAAGGGACGGCUAACUACGUG